rnacentral:lncRNA from 1 species
CCAGGCCCGAAGCUGGCUGGCCAAUAAUUAACAUGACAAUCGCCCUACAGGCACUGACUUACAGACGAGCCUACUAAAGGGGUGUGCAGGGCAGGGAGUUCCUUCCCGGCCUCCCCUCUUCCUGAGACUUUAGAUCCUGUCCCCAUACCUCCCACCUCCAGUCUCCCGACGCCAGAAAGGCGGAGCCAGAAGAGAGGUUAGGAGCUGUCAGCUUCCAGCCCCAAAUUCACCGAAGACUCUGCCAGCAGAGACGUUCAUGAAAGAGCAAUUGUGAGGCCCAGUGUUUUCGUUUGACACCCGUCCAAGAACAGGAUGGUAAACCCAGAAGCCAGGUCACCUUUUGCUUGCUACUGACCCCUCCUGGAGUGAAGAAGACUGCAAGCUGAAGAAGCCCAGAAAAAACAAAAACAAAAACAAAAACAACAAAACAACUGGUUCUGAGUUUGCUGUUCACAAUGUUGUUUCGUUGGAACCGGAAACAGUCCAGGUCCCCAAGUGCUGGAUUUACAGAUGUGCACCACCAAGCCUGGCUUUAGUCCUGAGAAUCUUGUUUUUUAAACAGCUUCACUGUGGUCCAGGCUGCAUUGAAACUCAGCAAUCUUUCUGCCUCAGGCUACCGAGUGCUGGUAUUGCUAACACACUUGUGCAUGGUUCUGGCUUGUUUUAAUUUUAAUUUAAUUUAAUUUAAUAUGUAUGGGUGUUUUUUUUUUUCAGGCAUGUAUGUCUAUGCGCCACCUGCAUGCUUAGUGCCUUCAGAGGUCAGAAGAGGAUGUUGUAUUUCCUGGAAAUAUAGUUACAGACUUUGUGAGCCACUAUGUGGGAGCUGGGAAUUGAGCCCACAAACUCUAGAAGUGCAGCCAGUGCUUCUAACUGCUGAGCCUCUCUCCAGCCCCUGUCCUGAAGUUCAGCUCCUUUUUGGGGAGGAUGAAAUCUGCCUAAAUUUGAGGUCACAGGG